CAAACCAAAUUCUGAGGCAGUUGUUUCCUGCAUGGUUGAGAUGAUGCAGGCACAGUUUUCGCCAGCCAUGUUGACUACUUUACUAGAUGUUUGUUGAAUACUGUAGAAAUAAAAAAAAAAAAAAAAAAAAAAACAGCAGAUAAAAAAAAAGCAGAAUUCAAAUAAUAAGAGCUUGAAGUAAAAGAGGGAGCAGCUCCUCUACACAGUCCACCAUGGUGCACAGCAAUGUUUCUACAGUAGCCAAGAAUGGACAAACCAAUCAUUGGCUCUAGAGAAGCCCUCUGACAUAUCAUGGACCAUAUAUCCUUCGUGCUUGGAAGGGGAGGGUUUUCUUCGUGGUGAUUUACUCGGCUUGAUAGGAAAAGUGAAUCUUCACUCACGUCCAUAAAGGGCUGUGGGAACAGAUGUCCCCAC